rnacentral:rRNA from 1 species
CCCAGACUCCUACGGGAGGCAGCAGUGAGGAAUAUUGGUCAAUGGGCUUACGCCUGAACCAGCCAAGCCGCGUGAGGGAAGACGGCCCUAUGGGUUGUAAACCUCUUUUGUCGGAGAACAAAACCCGGGACGAGUCCCGGACUGCGUGUAUCCGAAGAAAAAGCAUCGGCUAACUCCGUGCCAGCAGCCGCGGUAAUACGGAGGAUGCGAGCGUUAUCCGGAUUUAUUGGGUUUAAAGGGAGCGUAGAUGGGUUGUUAAGUCAGUUGUGAAAGUUUGCGGCUCAACCGUAAAAUUGCAAUUGAUACUGGCAGUCUUGAGUACAGUUGAGGUAGGCGGAAUUCGUGGUGUAGCGGUGAAAUGCUUAGAUAUCACGAAGAACCCCGAUUGCGAAGGCAGCUUACUAAACUGUGACUGACAUUGAUGCUCGAAAGUGUGGGUAUCAAACAGGAUUAGAUACCCGAGUA